GUGCCAGCCGCCGCGGUAAUACGUAGGGGGCAAGCGUUAUCCGGAUUUAUUGGGCGUAAAGCGCGCGUAGGCGGCUUGUUAAGUCAGGUGUGAAAUCCGGGGGCUCAACCCGCGGCUUGCAUCUGAAACUGGCAGGCUUGAGUCUGGUAGAGGAGUGUGGAAUUCCCAGUGUAGCGGUGAAAUGCGCAGAUAUUGGGAGGAACACCAGUGGCGAAGGCGGCACUCUGGGCCACGACUGACGCUGAGGCGC
rnacentral:rRNA from 1 species